GCGCAAACGCGCCGGCUCUUUCCAUGUGUCGUCAUUCGCUUCUUGUCCGCUCAGUACAGCGGAGCCCCUGGAUACUGCACUGACGCCGGUGCCCCGCGAUUUUUCGGAGCGGGUGCGCCAAGGAAACACAGCUUCAAAAAGUGCUCAAGGUGCAUGGAAGCACUUUAAACAAUAAGAAACCUAAUUGCCCGUGACUUCCAGAAUUGAUAUUCGUACGGCUGCAAGAAGGUGAUGGCAGGAUUAGCUCCAAGAUCUACAACAUCUGGGUGACAAGGAGGGCAGUGUGAGAAGAAAAUUGGGGGAAAAGUUUGCUCACACGGACAGCCAACGCCGCCCUGGUGGUUCAACUAAUGUCUUGUUCAAGAUGGCUGCCGUGGUACCGCAGCCUUUUAUCAUACGAGUACAUAUAUUUACUCAUAAUGAAAUAGCUGAUAUUAUAAUAAGCCUGAUAUCUUCAAAGGCUUCAUCGAAAUUUAGAAAUAUUCCACCUCCUGCAGGGAUGAGCUCUUGAUCUGUUCAUUUGGGUAAGAAUGGAAGAGCAUGAAAAGGACUGUUUUUUUUUUUUUUUUUUAGACAGGCUGAAGACAAUUUUGUAAGUCAUACUAAAAAUUUUGUAAUAUGCAAAAUAAAAUGAGAACAUAAUAAAAUAGCAAAUAUGGCAAUAUAUUUAUUAUCAUUAAAAGUUUGCUUUAAAUUUAUAAACAGUUCUAGUUUCAGGGUCACUUCAUACUGACUAGUAGGUUUAACCUAUCCCUUACAUUUCCAUAAAACAUGCUGUAUACACAAUUUAUAAUGAUUUUUAUUCUCUCACACAUGUUAUUUCUUGCUAGUAUUUGUCUUGGCACACGAGAGUUCAGAUAAACUUCAGUGGCAGUAGUUGCACUUUGGGUGACAUUUCACACCAUUCACUCCACACUUGCAGCCAGCAGAAGUAUCUCCUUUCCCCUGAAAGAAGAAGUACCCAGACUAAAUUGCUUGCUUCACUUUAGUGUCUAGCAUAGUCAUUCUUAUAGAGGAAUUAGAAUACUGUUAGUGACAUGCUAUGACAUGCUAAUCAUUUUAUUUAAUUUUUUUUUUUUUUUUCAGCCCAUUCUGUGAUUAGAGAGAGAAACCUCUGAACCUGAUUCAUCCAUGGGUGCAGCCUCGGCUUAAACUAUGCAAGCUGAAAAUGCAAGCUCAUAUGCUUAUAAAAUCUCUUCCAUAGCAUGAGUAUACACAGACACGUUUUUUUUACGAUACAGGCUGUUCUCCUUAGGCGUUACAGAUUUGUUUUUAAAAAGCCAAAAAAUCUACUUUAAUGUGGUCUGUGCAGGUGAGUUAUGCGGCUAGGCAGACAUAAUAUAGGGGGCUAAUCAACAUGACAAGUCGAAUAAUUUACUAAAAUUUGGUAGUUAACUUUUUUAUUGGUGAAAUUAAACAUAUGGUUCCAAUUAUAAACGUGCUGAACGUCAUCAAAAACCACUAAAUCAACAAUUUUUAGAAAUACUGAGUGCGUGGGAAGUGCAGUAGAGUGCCAAAGUUAGCACUUGUGCAACAGCCACAAGGCUGGCGGUACGAAAACACGGAUGAUAAAAGAUAAAAAAGCGCUCGGGCGCAUUAUUGCACCCGUGGCCUUGUGCCUGCUGCAUGAGUGGUAACUUUAGCACUCCAAUGUGCUUCCCACGCGCGCUAAGUCUUUCUAAAAUUAACUGAUUUAGUUGUUUGCAAUGAUGCUCGGCAAGUUUCGAUUUGGAACCAUUCAUUUAUUUUCACUAAAUAAAAAAUCAAUGAGCAUAUUUUAGUUAAUUAGCCAACUUAUUGUGACGAUUAGCUCCCUAUAUUAUGUCCUCCUGGCCAUAUAACUCGCCUGCACAGACUGCAUUCGUGUAGCUUUAACAGCAUAAAAAAAAUGCUAUUUCUAUUUGAAAGAAAGCAGCAUUCAAAAAUAUUCCC